rnacentral:rRNA from 1 species
UACAGAGGGUGCGAGCGUUAAUCGGAAUUACUGGGCGUAAAGCGUGCGUAGACGGCUAUCUAAGUCGGGUGUGAAAGCCCCGGGCUUAACCUGGGAACUGCAGUCGAGACUGUCUAGCUAGAGUAUGGGAGAGGGAAGUGGAAUUUCAGGUGUAGCGGUGAAAUGCGUAGAUAUCUGAAGGAACAUCAGUGGCGAAAGCGACUUCCUGGACCAAUACUGACGCUCAUGUGCGAAAGCGUGGGGAGCAAACAGG